rnacentral:lncRNA from 1 species
GUUUUUAAUGGCUGGAUAAUUCAAGAAUCAGAAGGAGAGAGAAAGCCAUUCUGCUAGCUCCCUGCUGAUCAGCCACUGGAUCUACAUGUUCUACUGUGUUCUCCAAGCUAGGGAGGGGGUGGGGGGCAGGGAGGGUGGUGGGGGCUCUUCCCACGGUUCACCAGUGAGGCUCCCUGAGCUCUGACCCAGGGCACAGUGUGGGUUCUGUCACCCCAUCCUCCCCCAGCAAGUUGCUACCUGCUUCCCACAGCUUCCUCAGAAACGCAAGUCCCCCCGGAUCC